GCCAGGGACGGCGGCUGUGGCCUCAUUUUGGGGUGACGAUGGGGCUCCUGCGGGUGCUGCUGCUCCUCGGGGGGCUGCGCCUGCCCCCCACGCUGGGGCUUCUCCAGGAGCCCCCCACCAUCUACGAGGGACCCCCCGGCAGCUAUUUCGGUUUCGCCCUGGAUUUCCACAUGAGCGAGGGAAGGCCUAGCGUGGCGGUGGGGGCCCCCCGUGCCAACACCUCGCAGCCCGGCGUGGCUCAGCCCGGCGCCGUCUUCCUGUGCUCCUGGCCCCCCGACAAGACCCCCUGCCACCCCCUGUCCAUCGACACUGCGGGGGACGAGAGCGAGAGUCAGGGCACCUUGGAGUUCCACACCUACAAGUCGCACCAGUGGCUGGGAGCGUCCGUCACCAGCUGGGACGGCAAACUGGUGGUCUGUGCCCCGCUGCAGCACUGGAACGCUUUGGAGGGGCAGCACGAGGCGUUCCGCACCCCGACGGGCACCUGCUUCGUGCGGAGCCCGGGGCAGCGGAGCGCGGUGUGGUACUCGCCCUGCCGAGACCAGACCAUGGCCAGCACCUACCGCCAGACGAACUACGUGCACGACAAGCGCUACUGCGAGAUCGGCUUCAGCGCCGCCGUCACCCCGGAUGGGACGCUGGUACUGGGUGCCCCCGGCGGGUACUACUUCACAGGGCUCGUGUACUCGGUGGAGCUGGACAAGAUCCUCAGGCGCUUCCUCGGCACGUCCCUGCUGUGGCUGGGGAGCCCCGGGCGCCCCACGGAGCCGGUGUCUGGGGACUACGAGGACGGGUACCGGGGAUACUCGGUGGCUGUGGGCGAGUUUGAUGGCAACCCCAAAACCAAAGAGUACGUGGUGGGGGUCCCCAACAAGAGCAACACGAGGGGUGAGGUGGAGAUCUUCACUGCGGGGGACACCCUGCGCUGGCUGCGGGGCAUCGCCAGCGAGCAGGUGGCUUCGUACUUCGGGCACACGGUGGCAGUGGCCGAUGUCGAUGGGGACGGGCGGGAUGACCUGCUGGUGGGUGCGCCCCUGUACAUGGCCCGGCGCUCCGACGGGCAGCGCAGCGAGCUGGGGCGCCUCUACCUCUACCUGGGGCGGGGACAGCAGCCCCUCGCCGGGCCCCCCCAGACCCUGACGGGGACCCACCCCUACGGCCGCUUCGCCGCCGCCAUCGCCAGCCUCGGGGACCUGGACAAGGACGGCUUCGGCGACGUGGCCGUGGGCGCCCCGCAGGGCGGUGACAGUGGCAGCGGGCAGGUCUUCAUCUUCCGCGGGCAGAGCGAGGGGCUGGCGCCGGUGCCCAUCCAGCGCCUCGACAGCCCCUUCCCCGGCCCCGCCGCCUUCGGCUUCGCGCUGCGUGGUGCCGCCGACCUGGACGGCAACGGCUACGCGGAUCUGCUCGUGGGGGCUUACGGGGCGGCCAAGGUGGCCGUGUACCAGGGACUGCCCGUGGUGGUGGCCCGGACCCAGCUGAGUGUCCCCGACGGGCUGAACCCUGAGAUCCUGGACUGUGUCCUGCCCGACUCCAGCGUCCGUGUCAGCUGCUUCCACGUGGUGUUUUGUGUCAGCGUGACGGGCCAGCACAUCCCUCAGAGCAUCCAGCUGGAGGCUGAGCUGCAGCUGGACCGGCUGAAGCCCCGGCCAUCGCGGAGGGUCCUGCUGCUGCAGGGACACCAAUCGUCCUGGCAGGGGGAGCUGCUGGUGGCACCGGGGACACCCCCUGUGUGCAGCAACCUCACCGCCUACCUGCGGGACGAGGCCGAGUUCAAGGACAAGCUGAGCCCGGUGGCCCUGAGCGUGGCCCUGACGCUGCCCAGAGUGGCCCCGGGAUUGGUGCUGUACGGGGACACCCUGGUGCAGGCACAGACCCACAUUAUCCUGGAGGACUGUGGCGAUGACAACCUCUGCGUGCCCGACCUGCGCCUGGCUGCUGACACCCCCAGCCAGCGCCUGCUGAUCGGGGCGGAGGCCGUGCUGUCCCUGCGUGCCAACGCCACCAACGCGGGCGAGGGCGCCUUCGAGGCCGAGCUGAGGGUGCAGCUGCCCCCUGGCACGCACUACCAGGCUGCCCGCAGCACCAUCCCGGGGCAGAACAAGCUGAGCUGCAACCCCAAGAAGGAGAAUGGGACCCACGUGGUGCUCUGUGAGUUGGGCAAUCCCAUGAAAGCAGGAGCCCGGAUCACCGUGGACAUGGAGCUGAGCGUGUCUGGGCUGGAGGACAUGGGGGAUGCCAUCACCUUCCACCUCCAGCUAUGGAGCAAGAACAGCCCCAGCCACGCAUCGGUGACGGUGCCGGUGCCCGUGGAGGCAGAGGCAGAGAUGAGGCUGCGAGGCAACUCCCUGCCUGCCACCAUGGUGCUGCCCACGAGCUGGCACAGGGUGGAGGGCAGCCGGCGACUCGAGGACCACGGCAUCAGGGUGGAGCACGUCUAUGAGCUCCACAACAAAGGUCCGGGCACCGUCAGCGGGGUCACCCUGAGCCUCGCCGUCCCCCACCUGCUGGGCGACCACGUCCUGCUCUACCUGCUGGAGCUGGGCACCGAGGGGGGCAUGAACUGCUCCCACCACCGCGCCCUCAACCCCGCCCAGCUGGAGAUCUCCGCUUCGACGGCCGCAGCGCCCGGGAACGGCACCCACCAGCGGGAGCGCCGGGAGGCGGAGCCGCCCCCGAGAGCCGGGCUGGGGAACGAGGGGCUGGGGGACCUCGUCCGUGUGGACUGUGACAAUGCCACGUGCGUGAACAUCACCUGCCACGUGCCCAGCCUGGGCAAGGACCAGCGGGCACUGGUCAGCAUCCACGCCCUGCUCUGGAUGGACACCCUGCAGCAGCGGGAGCACCUCCUGACGCAGUUUCGCAUCCAGUCACAAGCGUGGUUCAACACCUCGGCCAUGCCCUACCGCGUCCAGCCCCGGGUCCUGCCUGCCGGCAAGGCUGAGACUGAAACCUCCGUGGUGCGAGCCAGCCCUGGGGGCGAGGGGGCUGUGCCGGUGUGGUGGGUGGUGCUGGGGGUCCUGGCCGGGCUCCUGCUCCUCACCCUCCUCAUCCUCCUCAUGUGGAAGAGGUGCUGCUGCGGGUGCAGGUGUUCGAGAGCGGCACGCUGGCCCCGCUGCCGCAGGCGGCCCUGGACGUGUUCGGCGCCCGCAGCGCGCUGGCCGCGGGGAGCACGGACCACUCGGGCACCGCCGUCCUGCCCGUGCCCUACCGCCUGGGCUCCUGGCUGCUCGUCACCGCCGCACGCCGCGGAUACGUCACCGCCUCUGUCCCCUGGCGUGUCACCAAACUGCCACUCUACGCCUCCAUCAGCCUCUACCUGCUCCCAGAGCGCCCGGCCACGCUUAUCCUCUACGAGGACCUGGUCCAGAUCCUCCUGGGAUCCCCAGGUGGCCGUGGGCAGCCGUGGGCACAGUUCCCCCGGCGGGCAGCGCGCCUGCCCCGCAGCUCCACUUACAGCCAGCUCGCCGCGUCCCUCACCGCCGCCUCCGGCCCCAGCCUGGCCCGCGCCUUCCCCGCCUUCCUCGGGGCCGAGCAGGACGGCAGCGCCAAUGGCACGUGGCUGGAGCUGGCGCCGGUGGCGGCUGUCAGCGUCCACCUGUUCACCGGCAACGGGACCGAGGUGCCGCUGGCCGGCCCCGUCCAUCUGUCCGUCCCUCUGGCCCCCGACGCCGCGGCCGUGGUUGCCACCAGUGUGCCAGCCUGGAGGUUUGACCCCAAGAGCGGGCUGUGGGUCCGGAACGGGACGGGGCUGAUCCGGAAGGAAGGCCGGCAGCUGUACUGGACGUUCGUCUCCUCCCAGCUGGGAUACUGGGCAGCAGCUCUGCCCUCCCCCAGCACGGGUCUGGUGGCGAUGGCAGCGGGUGUGACAGACAUCACCACCUACCACACCAUCUUCCUCCUCACCAUCCUGGGUGCCCUGGCCCUGCUCGUCCUCAUCCUCCUCUGCCUCCUCAUCUACUACUGCA